rnacentral:rRNA from 1 species
UCAGGAUGAACGCUGGCGGCGUGCCUAAUACAUGCAAGUCGAGCGAACCACUUCGGUGGUGAGCGGCGAACGGGUGAGUAACACGUAGGUGAUCUGCCCAUCAGACGGGGACAACGAUUGGAAACGAUCGCUAAUACCGGAUAGGACGAAAGUUUAAAGGUGCUUCUGGCACCGCUGAUGGAUGAGCCUGCGGCGCAUUAGCUAGUUGGUAGGGUAAAGGCCUACCAAGGCGACGAUGCGUAGCCGACCUGAGAGGGUGAACGGCCACACUGGGACUGAGACACGGCCCAGACUCCUACGGGAGGCAGCAGUAGGGAAUCUUCGGCAAUGGGCGAAAGCCUGACCGAGCAACGCCGCGUGAAUGAUGAAGGCCUUCGGGUUGUAAAAUUCUGUUAUAAGGGAAGAACGACUUUAGUAGGAAAUGGCUAGAGUGUGACGGUACCUUAUGAGAAAGCCACGGCUAACUACGUGCCAGCAGCCGCGGUAAUACGUAGGUGGCGAGCGUUAUCCGGAAUUAUUGGGCGUAAAGAGCGCGCA